rnacentral:rRNA from 1 species
UACGGAGGGGGCAAGCGUUGUUCGGAAUUACUGGGCGUAAAGGGCGCGCAGGCGGCUGCUCAAGUCAGGCGUGAAAGGCCUGGGCUCAACCCGGGAAUUGCGCUUGAGACUGGGCCGGCUUGAGUGCGGGAGAGGAUGGUGGAAUUCCCAGUGUAGAGGUGAAAUUCGUAGAUAUUGGGAAGAACACCGGUGGCGAGGGCGGCCAUCUGGACCGCAACUGACGCUGAGGCGCGAAAGCGUGGGGAGCAAACAGG